GGACUACUCGGGUUUCUAAUCCUGUUUGAUCCCCACGCUUUCGUGCCUCAGCGUCAGUUACAGUUUUGUGAGCUGCCUUCGCGAUCGGUGUUCUGUGCCAUAUCUAAGUAUUUCACCACUACAUGGCACAUUCCGCCCACAUCAAAUGUACUCAAGAUCGACAGUAUCAAUGGCAGUUCUGCAGUUAAGCCGCAGGCUUUCACCACUGACUUAUCGUUCCGCCUACGCACCCUUUAAACCCAAUGAAUCCGGAUAACGCUCGGGUCCUUCGUAUUACCGCGGCUGCUGGCAC
rnacentral:rRNA from 2 species